GACAGAGGAUGCAAGCGUUAUCCGGAAUGAUUGGGCGUAAAGCGUCUGUAGGUGGCUUUUAAGUCCGCCGUCAAAUCCCAGGGCUCAACCCUGGACAGGCGGUGGAAACUACCAAGCUGGAGUACGGUAGGGGCAGAGGGAAUUUCCGGUGGAGCGGUGAAAUGCGUAGAUAUGCGGAGGAACACCGAUGGCGAAGGCAAUCCCUGGCCUGCGACGACGCUCAUGCACGAAAGCGUGGGGAGCAAACAGG
rnacentral:rRNA from 1 species